CUACGUGCCAGCAGCCGCGGUAAUACGGAGGGUGCGAGCGUUAAUCGGAAUAACUGGGCGUAAAGGGCACGCAGGCGGCUAUUUAAGUGAGGUGUGAAAUCCCCGGGCUUAACCUGGGAAUUGCAUUUCAGACUGGGUAGCUAGAGUACUUUAGGGAGGGGUAGAAUUCCACGUGUAGCGGUGAAAUGCGUAGAGAUGUGGAGGAAUACCGAAGGCGAAGGCAGCCCCUUGGGAAUGUACUGACGCUCAUGUGCGAAAGCGUGGGGAGCAAACAGGAUUAGAUACCCUGGUAGUCCACGCUGUAAACGCUGUCGAUUUGGGGAUUGGGCUUUAAGCUUGGUGCCCGUAGCUAACGUGAUAAAUCGACCGCCUGGGGAGUACGGCCGCAAGGUUAAAACUCAAAUGAAUUGACGGGGGCCCGCACAAGCGGUGGAGCAUGUGGUUUAAUUCGAUGCAACGCGAAGAACCUUACCUACUCUUGACAUCCAUGGAAUCUUGUAGAGAUACGGGAGUGCUUCGGGA
rnacentral:rRNA from 1 species